UGUGGUUCAAGAGAGAAGAGUGCACUC
rnacentral:piRNA from 1 species